UUUUCAUUAAAACUGACCAUGAGAUUAUUAAAUAUUUGCUUGAGCAAAGGCUACACACUAAUUUGCAGCAGAGGGGAAUUUCCAUGCUCAUGGGUCUUGAUUACAAAAUUAUUUAUAGAAAGGGUGUGGAAAAUAAAGCUGCUGAUGCCCUGUCUAGGAGACCUGAUAUGAAUGGCAAAUCUGCUACUCUUUCCUGUUGUCCACUUCAAUCUG
rnacentral:misc_RNA from 1 species